rnacentral:misc_RNA from 1 species
GUGAGUCAUCGAAUCUUUGAACGCACAUUGCGCCCUCCGGCAUUCCGGAGGGCACGCCUGUCCGAGCGUCAUUACAACCCUCAAGCUCUGCUUGGUAUUGGGCGACCGUCCGCAAGCCCUCGGGCCCGCGGACGCGCCUCGAACAACUCGGCGGUCCCAGGACGGCUCCGGGCGUAGCAAAAGCAAUCGCCUUGGAGUCCGCCCCGGCGGCCUGCCGCAUGAAUGACACGCAACUUUUUGCAAGGUUGACCUCGGAUCAGGCGGGGAUACCCGCUGAACUUAAGCAUAUCAAUAAGCGGAGGA